rnacentral:lncRNA from 1 species
UGAAAACUUAUUCCCCAGUUUCCUAUUCAAGUUUAUGAAACUGGGGCUUCCAAGUUUAACUAAAUAAAGUUGGAGACCUCGACACUCACACACACAAAAAGAAACGGGCAACCCUUAAGCGGUUUCUAACUGAUAAGCGCAAUUAAUACCAGUUGUGUGUUUUCUCCUAAAAUCUCCACAAUUAGGCCCUAUUCGUCAAUAAUUGAGCGAACCUUUUCAGUACCUCUUUUCCUUUCCCGUUUUCUAAUUGAAUAGUUGCACCGUUUUCUAAUUGAAUAGUUGCAAGAACAAUCAUGAAAACUUAUAGGGACAUUUCAACGAACAGCUUCACUACGUAAAAAAACAACAUAC